rnacentral:lncRNA from 1 species
UUGCAGUCAGUGCAGAAGGCUGUAUAACAGUCACUAAACAUAGUAAACAUGCUCGACAACAACAAUAACAAUAUCGAGAAGAAGAACAGCAAAGUUUAUUGGAAGUUGCUGCUAGAAAACAGAGAUUCGUAGAACGCAGAAUGAUAGGUGUUGGCAAGAUCAUGCUCGAAGAUGAAUCCACCAUCUGUGAAGACAUGCUUAAUGCUUUGGAUGUUAGUGGUCUCCAAGCAAAGCCAGCUGCUUUAAAUGAUUACAAUUUCAAGGCACCUAACUGAAGUCCAUUGGCAAUAGACAAUCAAAGAACAGCCAUUCUUGAACUUCUCAAAAAAGAAAAUGUCAUCAUUGUUAAGGGCUUUAACGGUUGUGGUAAAACCACUCAAGUUCCCCAAUUUGUUUUAGAUGAAUGCUACCGAACCAAAACUCCUUGCAACAUUGUUGUGACUCAACCAAGGCGCAUUGCAGCCAUUAGCAUAGCCAAAAGGGUCUGCUAUGAAAGAAAUUGGACAUUGGGAACCGUUGUUGGAUACAGAGUUGGCAUGGAACAUCAAGUAAGUGAAUCAAUUUUGCUCACCUAUCUGACCACAGGAUGCCUUCUUGAAGCAUUAGUAGCCAAAAAAUCCCUUGAAGGCUAUACCCACAUCAUUAUUGACGAAGUACACGAGAGGGAUGAAGAUACUGACUUCCUUCUCUUGGUCGUCCGCAAGUUCCUCCGUCAUACGAGGACGACAACUAAAGUCUUUCUGAUGUCAGUUACUUUUGAUGCCGACAAAUUUGGCCAAUAUUUCAAUAGCCCCGUCAUUGGAAACUUUCCGUUCACGUCCAAAAGACCAUUUCGCAACGGUCCCAUAAUUGAAGUGGAGCACGGUGAACCUCACGACAUACGCGUUUACUAUAGUGAACAUCUUCAAAAACUAGAGGUAUGAAUCACUCAAUCAAACUCAGUGGCAGUUUCAUCCAAAUGGCGUUAUUUCAAACAACCUCUGUGGCGUACCAGAAACUGAAAAGUCGAUGAAUUUCGUCUCUAGUGAAAAUAGUCGAUUUGCGGGAAUCACAAGCAGGCACAUUACUGUGAAAGAUAACUAUGCUGCUUAUUUUAAGAUCAGAACAUCGUGUGGAAUAACGCCGUGUCAUGCGAACAAUAACAGAAGCCAAGUAAGAUUUCAAAUGAGGCAAGGAUAUGAACAGCCUUCAUGGUCCUUGUCAAAACCCAACUGUUUGCCAAGUUCAACGGAUUCGUUGUGCGAUCCUCAGAUGUAUCAUAGUUCUUCUGCAUUAGCAUUUGGCAACUUCCCGACUUGGCAGCGGGUCAUCAUCUCACUCAAAUCGAUAACAUUCGCCAAGCGAUAAAACGGCUCCCGUGGGUACACUUGAAGGAUGGGCAAAAUUGGAGGUAGGGAAGCCAAAAUUGCUUCAAAAAAAAAGCCCCAACCUUUCGGCUUUCUUAAUAGAGAAGGCUAUGGUUACAGGAGCUGGUCGUGACUUAAAAGAGCCAAGGUUUUGUCCGCAAGUGCUUCAAAUAUACCGUAGAGGCGCCUGGUGGUGGUUUGGAGCAAUAUAACAAAAUAAUUUCGCGCAAGUUUGUUUAAACAUUUGUAUUGAUGCUUACUUUUGACAAUACAUUUUUUUCCAUGAACAAAAGUUCUUGAAAGCUUUUUACUAGUUUUCAUAUGUCUUCUUUCUUUGGCUAGGUAAAAAUUACGAAAGGGUUUUGAUUUCGUAUGAAAUCUUAUGUGGAUAUAUUGCAGUAUUAUAUAUGGUAAUGACUCAUCAUACUUCAUGGAAUGUGAUCUUCCAGAUUUAGCUUGCAAUUCAGCUUUCCCCUUCAUAAUAAAGUUUAUUGGUCCAAUA